GGGUGAGUAAUACGUAGGUGACCUACCCAUUUGUGGGGAAUAACUUCGGGAAACUGGAGCUAAUACCGCAUGAGCUGAUAGACUUUGAAAGGAUAUCAGGAAAGAUGACCUCUCCUUGGAAGUUAUCGCAAGUGGAAGGGCCUGCGCGACAUUAGCUUGUUGGUGGGGUAAUGGCCUACCAAGGCUACGAUGUCUAGCUGGUCUGAGAGGAUGAUCAGCCACACUGGAACUGAGACACGGUCCAGACUCC
rnacentral:rRNA from 1 species